UAAAAGAUAAGCUAACAAUUUAAGCUAAUGGGCUCAUACCCCGUAAAUGAGAGUCUAUUCUCUCUCUUUUUA
rnacentral:tRNA from 1 species